ensembl:snoRNA
UGGUCUCUACCAAGGCUGCUAGGAAAUGCUGUUUCUGGUAUGCUGUGGACGUGACCAUAAAGCAAUACUUCCAAGGAUUUUGUUUUGCUACUGUAGUACAACAAAUUCGUUGGAGACAUUU